CCUACGGGCGGCAGCAGUGGGGAAUAUUGGACAAUGGGCGAAAGCCUGAUCCAGCCAUGCCGCGUGUGUGAAGAAGGCCUUCGGGUUGUAAAGCACUUUCAGUGGGGAAGAAAGCCUUGGGGCUAAUACCCUCGAGGAAGGACAUCACCCACAGAAGAAGCACCGGCUAACUCCGUGCCAGCAGCCGCGGUAAUACGGAGGGUGCGAGCGUUAAUCGGAAUUACUGGGCGUAAGGCGCGCGUAGGCGGUCUGAUAAGCCGGUUGUGAAAGCCCCGGGCUCAACCUGGGAACGGCAUCCGGAACUGUCAGGCUAGAGUGCAGGAGAGGAAGGUAGAAGUCCCGGUGUAGCGGUGAAAUGCGUAGAGAUCGGGAGGAAUACCAGUGGCGAAGGCGGCCUUCUGGACUGACACUGACGCUGAGGUGCGAAAGCGUGGGUAGCAAACAGGAUUAGAUACCCGAGUAGUC
rnacentral:rRNA from 1 species